GUCGGGAUAGCUCAGUUGGUAGAGCAG
rnacentral:tRNA from 15 species